AGCACCAUAGCCUCAGGUGUCAGCAUAGGCCACUCAGGUCAGAAUGACUGCUGGUGGCAGCAUGACCCAUGGGUAUCAACAUGGCUUUGGACAGCAUCAGAGACCUUGGACAUCUGUAUGACCUUCAGUGGAGACUUUCAGUUCUUGCAUUCAGACACAAUAAAGACUCUGGACUCCAGCCCUGGUGGAUGUGUCUGCUUUGAUGGAGGCUUUAACUUGAAUGGUGCUUUGGAGAAUGAGACUCAAAGCCAUAAUUACUUUACACAUAGGAUCUCUUACAGAUUCCAGGUCAGAAUCCAGGAGGGAACCUGACUGCAAAGCUGAUUCAAGGACCCUGAAACCAGGUGAUCUAGAGAAGGCCCUGUCACCAAGGUUGACUUCCUUGCUUAACAGCUUGUAUCAAAUUAUGACUGGUCAAUGCAGCAGCCCACU